CGCUCAGCAAGGUCUGCAAAGCAGGGAGGCGCCACUCUGGAGAGGCGCUCUCCCCACUCUGCUACCUUGCUGAGGGGCCGUGUUUCUGCUGGCUACCGCACUACCUGUCACACUGUGACAGGCAGCGGCGCCGCAAGUGUGAUCAGCUCUUCUGUCACUCUAACAGAGUGAUCUCCUCCCGUGAGUCAGGCUCCCACCCUCUCUUCUCCUUGCUCCUCCUCUCUGCCCAUGUCUGCUGAUACACAGGCAGCAGCGUCGCCUCCCCAAACUCCUCUCUUCUAUCCCCUGCCUCACUGAAGACUCGGCAGUCUUCAGCACCGCCCCCCUCUCUCCUCUCCCGUCAGUGCUGGAUUCAGAGUGGGGACACAGGAAGUCACAUGAUGUACAUGUGACUGUGCCGUGUGCACUGUCUGGAGGAGCAAGGCAAGCUGUCAUCAUGAGAAGAGGAGCAGCCAGCCUGUAGCAGCCUGUAGCCCUAGCAACAAGCCACAGAAGAGCUGAGACAGGCAUGCAGGUGAAGGGCCCAGAGUAGAAGCGAUGCAAGUCUAAUACUCAGGUAUGAUUGCGGAAGCCCAGAAACACACAGAUGUCACAAGAUGAAUCAAAGAAAGUGUUUCAUACAUUCUGGAGGCAGUGACCCUGCUGUGACCUCAGUGGUCUCAAUCAUGGAUCUAGAUGUCGAGGAAUGUACCACAAGAUGCACAGAGGAUGGUGAUGCAUCACUGCCAGUUUGAGUCUUGACCAAAGAUAAGCCAUGGAACUCAAGCUCUCAUUGUACAAGAGACCACUAACAAUGUACAUCACCAAAGAAUUGUCUAUUUAAAAAUAAAUCUAUAAAUAAAUUAAUAAAUAAUGCAACAAGGGGAAUUAGCAGUGCCAGCCUAUAGGCCCGUGUCAAUGGAUCAAAAUAAUAUUGAUUUGACCUUAAAAGAAAAUUACAAUGAAGCUUUUUUACAUUGUUUCCAAAUGACAGAAAAACUGAAUAAACUCAAAGAAACAAAAACUUUACAUUAAAGACUCCAUAGAGAAAAUACUGUAUUAAUGUAAUGCACCCAUUAACAACUUAAAGUACAUAAACUAUAGACAUCAG